rnacentral:misc_RNA from 1 species
GUGAAUCAUCAAAUUUUUGAACGCAUAUUGCACUCUCUGGUAUUCCGGAGAGUAUGCCUGUUUGAGGGUAAGUAAAAAGAAUCUUUGACCUGUUUUGUUUGGUCAAAGGAAAUGAGCGCCCCGCGUGUAUAGCGGUAGCUUGAAAUAAAGGUUCAAGUCUCAUUUUAGUCGAGACGCGUAAUAAUAUUAUUUCGCGAAAUCUUCAUUAUGUGACUAUCAAUUUUUGAUGCAUACUAGUUUGGUUUGUAUGCGAUCAAUACAAAUAUUAUUAACAUUACCUCAAAUCAGGUAGGAGUACCC